rnacentral:rRNA from 1 species
UACGAAGGGGGCUAGCGUUGCUCGGAAUUACUGGGCGUAAAGCGCACGUAGGCGGCUUUGCAAGUCAGAGGUGAAAGCCCGGGGCUCAACCCCGGAAUAGCCUUUGAGACUGCAUCGCUAGAAUUGUGGAGAGGUAAGUGGAAUUCCGAGUGUAGAGGUGAAAUUCGUAGAUAUUCGGAAGAACACCAGUGGCGAAGGCGACUUACUGGACACAUAUUGACGCUGAGGUGCGAAAGCGUGGGGAGCAAACAGG